rnacentral:rRNA from 1 species
AUGGAGCCUCGGGUGCCGGCGGCGCCGGCCAAUCUGCCACCGGUGUCGAGCAAGGCGGAGAAGUUCCCGGCGCGGCCGGGGUUCGGGACCAUCGGGAGGAGGUGCCGCGUCCGCGCCAACCAUUUCCUUGUGCAGGUCGCCGACAAGGAGAUCUACCAUUACGAUGUGGCAAUUGAUCCGGAAACGAGGUCUCGCGGAUGGAACAGAUCAAUAAUCAACGAACUAGUUAAAUUGUACAAGGAACACUUGGACGGUAGGCUGCCUGUUUAUGAUGGAAGAAAGAGCCUAUAUACCGCUGGUGCACUGCCAUUCAAGAACAAAGUAUUUGUCGUCAAACUUGCCAAUGCCGCGAAAGGGAAUAAACGCGAGGAGGAAUACAAGGUGACCGUCAAGCUUGCUUCAAAUCUGGAUAUGUACAGCCUUCGGCAGUUUUUGGCUGGUAGAAGCAGGGAUGUGCCACAAGACACUAUCCAAGCUCUCGACAUCGCCUUAAGGGAGUGUCCCACAACAAAGUAUGUAUCGAUCUCUAGAUCAUUCUUCUCUCAGUCAUUUGAACAUGGUGGCGCAAUUGGCAACGGUGUUGAAUGCUGGAGGGGUUAUUACCAAAGCCUUCGCCCCACACAGAUGGGUUUGUCACUAAAUAUCGAUAUUUCCGCAACAGCAUUUUACAAGGCCCAAGCAGUGAUGGACUUUGCAGUCGAAUAUCUGAAUAUCCGAGAUGCUUCAAGGCCCUUGAUUGAUCAGGAUCGUAUUAAGUUGAAGAAAGCCCUUAGAGGUAUCCGGGUUGAAGCCACUCAUCGGACUGAUAAAACCAUACGCUACAAGAUCACUAGCUUAUCCUCAGCUCCAUUGAAGGAAUUAAUGUUUGAUCAAGAUGGUGUGCGCGUAUCAGUUGUCCAGUACUUUAAGAAGCAAUAUAAUUACUCUCUCAAAUAUAUCAAUUGGCCAUGCCUUCAAGCUGGUAGUGAUAGCAGACCGCUAUAUUUGCCUAUGGAGGUUUGCAGCAUAGUUGGGGGACAAAGAUAUUCACGGAAGUUGAAUGAACGCCAAGUUUCAAGCAUACUAAAGAUGGCAUGUGAAAGACCAGCUCAACGGGAGAGCAGUGUUCUAGAGGUUGUUAAUAGGAAUAAUUAUGGCAAUGAUGACUAUUCGAAAGAAUUUGGCAUGAAAGUCAUGAACCAACUUGCAUUGGUCGAUGCUCGUGUACUACCUUCCCCAAGGCUUAAAUAUCAUGACUCUGGACGGGAAAAAGUAUGUAAUCCUUCAGUGGGACAAUGGAACAUGAUAAACAAGAGAAUGGUGAAUGGAGGAUCUAUCAACCAUUGGGCAUGUCUAACUUUUGCCUCUCGUCUUCACCCAAAUGACAUUGGCAUGUUUUGCCGCGAUCUGGCUCACAUGUGCAAUAACAUUGGCAUGGACACUGUGGAGUCUGCAAUCAGAAAUAUCCAUAGGCAUUCUGCAGAAGUGCUCACUAAGCAAGGUCUAGAAGGGAAGCAGCUUGAAUUAUUGAUCAUCAUAUUACCUGAUAUUAGUGGUUCUUAUGGAAAGAUAAAACGGCUCUGUGAAACCGAGCUUGGAGUAAUAACUCAGUGCUGCUUACCCAAGAAUGUUCAGAAGGGUGGGAAACAAUACCUUGAAAAUCUUUCUCUGAAGAUCAAUGUUAAGGUCGGAGGUCGGAAUACAGUACUUGAAGAUGCUUUGUACAAGAGGAUACCCCUUCUGACAGACGUGCCUACGAUAGUUUUCGGAGCUGAUGUUACCCACCCAGCUGCUGGAGAAGAUGCAUCUCCAUCUAUUGCAGCAGUUGUUGCAUCUAUGGAUUGGCCAGAAGUAACAAAAUACAAAUGCUUGGUCUCUUCACAAGGCCCUAGGGAAGAAAUAAUUGCCGACCUUUACACAGAAACAAUGGAUCCACAAAAGGGACGUGUUGGUGGUGGCAUGAUAAGGGAGUUGCUUCUCUCUUUCUACAGAGCAACUGGAUGCAAGCCUCACAGGAUUAUAUUUUAUAGAGAUGGUGUUAGUGAGGGUCAGUUCAGCCAAGUGUUGCUUUAUGAAAUGGAUGCGAUUCGCAAGGCUUGUGCUACUUUACAGGCUGGUUACCUCCCACCAGUCACAUUUGUUGUUGUGCAAAAGCGGCAUCACACUCGCCUAUUCCCUGAAAAUCAUCGUGCGCGGGAUCUGACGGAUAGAAGUGGGAAUAUCCUACCUGGUACUGUUGUUGACACAAAGAUCUGCCAUCCUACUGAGUUCGACUUUUACCUCUGCAGCCAUGCUGGUAUUCAGGGAACAAGCCGACCGACACAUUAUCAUGUUCUUCUCGACGAAAACCGUUUCAGUGCUGACGCCCUGCAAACCUUGACCUACAACCUUUGCUAUACCUAUGCCCGGUGCACGCGUUCGGUAUCUAUAGUUCCCCCAGCAUACUACGCGCACCUGGCAGCCUUCCGCGCGCGCUAUUACAUGGAAGACGAGUUCUCCGACGGGGGCUCGUCGUCUGCCACGGCCCGGUCCGCGCCUGCGAGGCAGCUCCCGAAGAUCAGGGACAGUGUCAAGGAGUUCAUGUUCUACUGCUGA